rnacentral:lncRNA from 1 species
UUUCAUAUGGGCNAAGCUCUCUGGAAAUGCUCAUUCCCAGGAAAUGUCUUUAUUUGACCCGAUUUAAAAAUGUGCUCUUGCAAGCAAUGCUAUCUUCUAAAUAAUUUUCAGAAGCAAUCAAUGGUAAUUGUUUAAAUUUGAAUAUAUUUGAAAUGUUAAGAACAUUAAUGAUGCUAAAUGAAGCACUUAAAGAAAUAGCUGAAAAGUAAGAUGUCCACAGGUAGCUUUAUAAAGUUUUAAUGGAUUCCUGAGAUUGCAGAAUGCUGCAUACAAGUGUGAAGUAGUGUGCAUGCCCAGGAAAUAUGUGACGUUUAAUUCACUUUACAAGUGAAUCAGACAUAUAAAUAGAUGCAUGUUAUAGUUUGAAUAUGAGCUGUCCCCCAAAAGUGCUUGUGUUAAUGCAGGAAGUAAAAUAAUUAAAUUAUGAGAACCAUAACCUGAUCAGUGGGCCAAUCCAUUUGAUAGAUUAACAAUUGGAAUAGAAUGCUGUGUGGUAACUGUAGGAAGGUGGGAAAUAGCUAGAGGAAAUAGGUCAUGGGGAGCAUGCCAUAGGAUUACAUAUUUUGUCCCUGGCUCUUCCUGCUCUCUCUUUCUGCUUCUUGGCUGCCAUGAGCUAAGGAGCUUUCCUCUACUUUGCUCUUCUGCUAUAAUGUUCUACCUUACUUAAUCCAAAGCAAUGUUAUCAAACAGUAAUGUACUGAACCUCCAAAACCAUGAGCCAAAAUAAACUUUUCUUUCUCUAAGUUGUUCUCAUCAGGUAUAUUUGUCAUAGUAAAGAAAAGCUGACUAACAUAAGAAAUUGCUACCAAUUGCUGUAAAUAACCUGACCAUGUAUUUCAAAAGUCUUUGUAACUACUCUAUGGGAGGGGUUUGAAUAAUUUGGGAGAUAUUUAAAAAAAAAAAGCCUUAGAAUAUUGCAAAUAGAGCUUAAUAGGGGGAUGUGGUGAAAGCUCAGAAGACCAGAAUAUUGAUAGGAAUGUGGACAAUAGGGAAUGUGCUCAUGAUAUUUUGGAGAGCAAUGGGGACUUCACUGAAAAUUGGAUUAGAGGCUAUUCAUUUUUCAUUCUGUCAAAAUGUCUACAUUUUGUCCAUGUCCUGAGACUUUCUGUGAGGUUGAAUUAAAACAUGAUGGACUAAUUAUUCUUGUGGAAGAAAUUUCACCUGAGCACAGUGUUUAGGCAGUGGCAUGAGUGUUGCUGACAGGUUUAAUCUUGGUUUACUAUGAGAAUUGAGAGCAAGAAGCAGAGAGGAAAGAUUUGAAUGUCUUUUAGUUUGGCUGGAAAAGGAGCAUAUGUAAAAUGGGGGCCAAGGAAGUUGUGCUUGCUGAAGAGAUACAUGAAGGAACCUUAAAUGCAUAUUAUUAUGUCGGAAAAACCAAUGUGAAAAGGCUUCAUACUAUAUUCUAGCUAUAAGGCACUCUGAAAAGGAGAAACUAUAAAGAUACUAAAAACAAUAGUGGAUACUAGAAGCUGAGGUGAGAGGCAGGGAUGAAUAAGUAGGAGUCAGUGAAUUUAUAUCCUUUUGUAAUUGUAGACACAUGUGUAUUAACCAUAUUUUCUAGAGUUUUUGACUGAUAUUUUAGUUUCUGGGGCCAGGCUGAAUAUACAGGGACUGUCCCUCCCAGGGUUAACAAAUUCCCCAAAAUAGCAAGGGAUUCUUGUGGAAACCUGUCUUUCACAUGCAAAUUUAGAACUCACUCUCCACCUGCCAUUUAAAUUACUCUAAAUUUAAAUUACUCUAAAUUUAUUGGGCUCUCAUACUUUCGGCCAAAACUUCCUUUCCCACUCAACUCAGGCAUGGGACACCAAGACAGUCUCUACAACAUAGAGCCUGCUGAGAUUAUUUAAACUAGCCAAUCCUAAAUAUAGUCUGUCUGUUCCCACAAUUUUACUCAACUCUUCCUACAAAUGGCACAAUAAAGACUUUCCAGCAUAUUCCAUCAUCUCUGUCUUUGCCUCUCACUGACCUUAGUGAUCUAUCCUGUAUCCUUGCAUAGUAUGCCUUCCUCUUGGGAAUUGUGAGUAAUAAACUCUCUUUUUAAUGGCAAUCAUGUCCUGAUCUCUUGCCCUCACCACAACUAAAUAAAUCUGAAAUCCCAGGUACAUUUUAAAACAUGGAAUAAUGCAUUAGGCAAAAAUACAACAUAGAGUGAAACAUAACAUAAAGGUAGAAACUUAGUGAAUAAAUGGUGCUUCAAUAUUAGAUCAUUGUUUUCAACUAAUGUGUGCCACACCAAGGCAAUAUGAAACUUGAAGGCUAGAAGAGGGAACUGUAGUUUCUUUUAUUAGAAAUAAAAGUAUAUUUUUAAAUAAUAGAAAAUCUAAUAAAUGGUCAAAAAUAUUUGCAGUUAUUAUAUCUGCAGUGUCACAUUAGAUUGGGUAGAGAGAGGUGAUGGGAGGGGAGGGGAGGGGAAGGGGGAUAGGAAGGGCAGCAGAAUAAAAUAGACACUAGUAUUUCUGUAUGUAUAUACGUGGCUGUAUAACCAAUGUGAUUCUGCAACCUGUACACUUGGAAAAAUGAGAAAUUAUACCCCAUUUGAUUCAAAUGUAUAAUAUGUCAAGAUCAUUGUAUUGUCAUGAACAACUAAUAAAA